rnacentral:lncRNA from 1 species
ACAAACCUCCCCUUCCCUUUAUUACUGUUUGAGUGAGACCCUCCCCCCUUAAAACCCUAGAAACUCACACAUAACUCGUCUCUCUCACCCCUCUCUCACUAUCCGCCGCCUCCGCCGCCGGAAAUCACCCUACGGCGACAGCCCAUCGCCAAAUAACCCCAAAACUUCACCAUAUAAUCCCAAGAUUCUUUCAUCACCAAUCUACCAUUAAUUCCCCUCAAUUUCCAUUAGAACUCCAUGAAUUUUAGAUCUUAAUCUAGGAAAAACCUAAAUCCACCCCUUUUCAAUUUUUUCUCAAAAAUCCCAAUUUGUUUGGGCUUAAAACCAAUGUCAAUCGACCGUUGUUGUUGAAUGUUACAAGUUGGCUUGGUUGUGUCUCGUUUCAAGGUCGUCGUUCAACUCGCCACUAGCUGGUCAGUUUUGUGGAAAGCCACUGUAAUUCUAGGUCCUUUUCCUUUUUCUUGGUUCAUUUUUGUCAUCUCUACUUGAAACACUGUCUACUCCCUUAAGCGUGAGUCAGUGUUCAUGUUGUGAUGCCUGACAUCCUCCAGAAUUUCCUUAUGUUCGAUGAUAUAUUGGUAAUCCUUUCCUCCUCCUUUUCAUUCCCUGAAUUAGCGGUUCUUUGUUUAAUUAUUACUUAAUUAUGAGUUCUUGUUUGACAACAUGUUUAGUUCAAUCAUUAAUUAUUUUAAUUGCCUAAUUAGUUAUUUGUCGAAUUUGAUGUUUGGUCAGUUUGUUGCUAUAGUUUCAAAUUGCAUAUUCAUUUAACAUGACAAUUGGCUAUUAAUUCAUGUUUAGUUGUGUUUGUUAGCUUGUUGAUAGUUUAAGCUUAGUUACUUCCUGAUUAAUGCUAUUAAGAGAAAGAAGUUUGGGAAAAAGAAGGGGUUAAAUGAAAGAUGGGUAAAUGCAGGGAUCUUGCAGGGUAGUUUAGGAAUUGAAAUUAAGGGAAUGUUAUAUGUAACUAUUUGAGAAAGUUCUAGAGACAGGACGAAGGAUUAAAGUGCAAUUAAAACCAGAAAUUAGGUCAGAUUUUGGGGUCAAAAGGGGAAUUUUCAGAAGCUAAAAGGGUUGAAAAAAAUAUAGACGAAUAUCUGAAUGGAUAGCUGUUGGACAACUGUCCAAUUCAGUUUUAAAAGAUGCUCUUUUCUUAAAAUUUAGGGACUGCAUUCUUAGAAUUAUUCCCUUAUCAUUUGGGCACAAGGCAGAUUUUAUUUUCUCUAUAUAAGGCCUUCUAUCUUCUUUCUCUCUCACACACACACGGAAAACCUCUCUGAAAUACAGACUCAUUUUCCUCAUUUUUGAGGCGAAUUUUGAGACUGAUUUUGAGAUUGAGGAAAACACUCAAAAAAACUUCCAUCAAGCUAAGUUUUAUUGUAGUUGUUUCUAUCUGUUGAUGCUGCUCUCGUUUAGUUGUAAAGUUAGGAUCACUGUUUGGUUUUCUCUAUUAGAUGUCUCUCCAUUAGUAGCUGAGCUUGUUUUCUUUGGAUUCUAAACCUUUAUUUGGUCAUUUCUUUUGUUUCUUUGCUUGAGAUAUGUAAAUCCUAAGCUUAUUCUUUUAUUUUGAAUCAUAGAUGAAAAUUUAUUGAAUAUAUGUUGGUUCUCACACUAACUAAGUGUUGUUUUGCCAAACUUUAAGUUCUAUUGCUCUAAUCUUGUUCUUGAUCGAUGUUUUGAUGAUGAAUAUGUUUUUCUCCGCUGAGAUUUUGAGUUGGCUAAUAGGCUAUUGAUGAAUUUGAAUGAUUUAGAAAAUCUAUUUGUUGUUUUUCAUGAAUCUAUGAGGGCUGUUUGAAUUUCAUUAAGUCUGUUUGUAUUGGAGGUUUUGCUUGGCAGAUUUUGAGCACUAUUGAAUUCAUGUGAGUCAUUCAACUAUUCCCUGUGUUAUUGUACGAGCUGCCAGAUUGUGGAAUUCAUCUUAUAAUAACAUUGGGAUUCAUAAUUAAUUAGUUCCAAUCUUAUAGCCUAUUUUUUUAUUUGAGUAGUUUCUUUUGGUCUCAAUUUGUAAUUAAGUGAACCUUCCUCCACUGAGUAGUGUAUCUCAAUCCAUUAGUGCACUAUUCAGUUAAUUCAAUUCAAAUUAAUAUUACAGUUUCAAAUGUAGAAUUAAAUGUAGCAUUUUGAUCCAGUAAUGUGAUUUUCAUAUCCCGAUAUUUGGAAGUUCGUCUAAAUCGCUGCUAGUUAUUGCCAUUUAAUUUGCUAGUUUCCAAACUUGUUUUGAUGUGUUUAUGGUAAGAAUUUGGUAAAUAUUUAUCAUGUUCAGUCAUUUAAUUGUAAACACUAUGUUGAAUGUAUCUAUCUAUUGCAUCUAAUUUCCUAUGGGGUUCAACAGCCAAAGAUUAUAUGAAUCAUGAAAAGAUGAGUCUUGCUUUAAUCUCUUUAAAAAUAUAGCUACUUUGUUUUCUUUUUUUUUUGUUGGAAAGAUAAAUAGUAUUAAACAUAAUUAAAGUUGCUACAGAGAGGGUGAUGCUGUCGCAUCUAAGUUAUAGUUUAUGUUUGGUUGAUCAUUACAGGGACUACUGCUAUCAAAACUAACAUUGUUAUCUAUCAUGGUAUCGCUAGAGGGAGCAUCCAUUUGUCGUUAAUUGUCCCAUUGUAGUUGUUGUAUCCAUGUUGUCUUCCUUAGGCGAGUGGCCUCUGCUCGAUCCCUUUGUAAAAAGAUUUUGACAAAAUCCGGUGGUUGUUCAGAAAUGGUUGCAGUUGUAGUAGAGUCGAUGUUGCACCCCGCUUUUGCUAAGCCAUCAGCCACCUCGUUCCCCUCCCUAUAGGUGUGCAUAAUAGUAGGACUAUGCAGCUUGUUUAGGAGGUGCCUGCAGCCAUGAAUUAUAUUAGUAUAAAGGAGGUUAUCUUGUCCCAACAUCCUGAUUACCUUUGUUGCAUCGAUGUUGAUUUCCAGGGGAACCAAAUGAUAUGUGUUUACCAAUUCUAGUCCAUAGAAUAGAGCUUUUAGUUCUUCUUGAACUAUGUUGGCACUGUCCAAAUUUUCUGCAAAACCUAUGAUUCAAUUUCCAUUGGAGUCACAUAUUGCUCCUCAUAUUCCUGCUUUCUGAGUUAAUGUUUCUACAGCCCCAUCCGUGUUUAAUUUAUAGUAGUUUGGUUUAGGAUGUAUCCAUUUAAUGGGAUGCAUUGAUGUUUGUUUUUUUAUGGUUACUCUCACAGCGAGGUAGGUGAAUUCAAGAGCAUGAUUAGUUACUUCUUUUUUAAGUGUUGAAGUAUUUCUUGCACAAUGGUAGUGUUAUCUUAGGCUCUUUUCCCCUCUUGGAAACUGGAUUGUAUGAGUCCAAUUAAUUUUGGUAAUAGAGGUUUUAACCUAUUGACAAUAAUUUUUGUAAUUAUUUUGUAAGUUGUGUUACAUAAGCUUAUAGGUCGAUAUUGAGUGAUUGCUACAACAUUUUUUACUUUUGAAAUUAGGCACAAAUAAGUUUUGUUAAUUUCUUCUAGUAUUUUGCUUUCCUUGAAAGCAUUAUGGCAACAUUGAAUAAGUGAUUGACUCACUUGUUGCCAAUAUGUUUGAAAAAAAUAUGGAUGAAGGACAUCCGGGCCAGGUACUUUAAAAUGUUGAAAGAGAAGAUUGCUUGCUUUAUUUCAAGUAGGUACACUGGUUUAGCCAAGUAUUGUAGAUCAUCGCAGUUUAAUGAAUUGAUUAUUGGGUAAUUUUUCAUGAUAUGCUUAGUGAAGCAGUGUUGUAUUGUGAAAAGGUCAGUGUAGUAUUGAAUUAUGGAGUUUUGUUGGAUCAAAAGUCCAAUUCCCUACACUGUCUUGUAAAGCGUUUAUGCGAUUACGUCUAUAUCUCUGUAAAGUAGACAUGUGGAAAAAUUUGGUGUUUGGAUCACCGUCAUUUAACCUAUAAAUUCUUGCUUUCAAUUUCCAAAAGUCUUCUUCUUACCUAAGUAAAUCACUAAAUUCGUGAGUUAGUUGUAUUUCUAAGGUCUGGAGGAAAUGGCUAGUAGGAUAGUAAAUUGAUUUUUGUAUGCCAUUAAUUCUAUUUAAUAAUUUCCUUUUUUUGGUGAAAAUAUUCCCAAAAGUAUGCUUGUUACAAUAAGUUGCAUUCUCCUUAAAAUUUGUCAAG